CAUAUCAUAAGCGGAGGAAAAGAAACCAACAGGGAUUGCCCUAGUAACGGCGAGUGAAGCGGCAACAGCUCAAAUUUGAAAUCUGGCCUCUUUGGGGGUCCGAGUUGUAAUUUGCAGAGGGUGCUUUGGCGUUGGCUGUGGUCUAAGUUCCUUGGAACAGGACGUCGCAGAGGGUGAGAAUCCCGUAUGUGGCCGCCAGUCUUCGCCGUGUAAAGCCCCUUCGACGAGUCGAGUUGUUUGGGAAUGCAGCUCUAAAUGGGAGGUAAAUUUCUUCUAAAGCUAAAUAUUGGCCAGAGACCGAUAGCGCACAAGUAGAGUGAUCGAAAGAUGAAAAGCACUUUGGAAAGAGAGUCAAAAAGCACGUGAAAUUGUUGAAAGGGAAGCGCUUGCAGCCAGACUUGCUUGCAGUUGUUCAGCCGGGCUCUUGCCCGGUCUACUCUUCUGCUCGCAGGCCAGCAUCAGUCCGGGCGGUUGGAUAAAGGCCUAUUAAACGUACCUCCCCUCGGGGAGGACUUAUAGGGUAGGCGACAUGCAACCAGCCCGGAUUGAGGUCCGCGCAUCUGCUAGGAUGCUGGCGUAAUGGCUGUAAGCGGCCCGUCUUGAAACACGGACCAAGGAGUCUAACAUCUAUGCGAGUGUUUGGGUGUCAAGCCCGAGCGCGUAAUGAAAGUGAACGGAGGUGGGAACCUUUCGGGGUGCACCAUCGACCGAUCCUGAUGUCUUCGGAUGGAUUUGAGUAAGAGCAUAGCUGUUGGGACCCGAAAGAUGGUGAACUAUGCCUGAAUAGGGUGAAGCCAGAGGAAACUCUGGUGGAGGCUCGCAGCGGUUCUGACGUGCAAAUCGAUCGUCAAAUUUGGGCAUAGGGGCGAAAGACUAAUCGAACUAUCUAGUAGCUGGUUCCUGCCGA
rnacentral:rRNA from 1 species